UACGUAGGGGGCAAGCGUUGUCCGGAUUUAUUGGGCGUAAAGCGCGCGUAGGCGGCCCUGUAAGUCCGUUGUGAAAGUCAAAGGCUCAACCUUUGAAAGCCGAUGGAUACUGCAGGGCUAGAGUCCGGAAGAGGCGAGUGGAAUUCCUGGUGUAGCGGUGGAAUGCGCAGAUAUCAGGAGGAACACCAAUAGCGAAGGCAGCUCGCUGGGACGGUACUGACGCUAAGGCGCGAAAGCGUGGGGAGCGAACAGG
rnacentral:rRNA from 1 species